rnacentral:pre_miRNA from 1 species
UAGCGUAAAAGUUGUAUGGAAUGGGAUCGUUUGCCUACGUUUGCCGCUAGGGGCGCUGUUCCAACUGCAUACAAAAUUGGGUUA